rnacentral:tRNA from 1 species
GUUUUAAUAGUUUAAAAUAAAACAUUGGUCUUGUAAAUCAAAAAUAAGUUAUAUACUUUUAAAACU